AUGGAAAAAUCCCUCGAGUCCAGUUUCGUUCGCGACGAAAGCGAGCGUCCGAAAGUCUCUUACAAUGACUUCAGCAAUGACAUUCCAAUCAUUUCUCUAGCCGGAAUAGACGACGUCGAUGGCCGAAGAACACAGAUUUGCCACAAGAUUGCAGAAGCUUGCGAGAACUGGGGUAUCUUCCAGAAGAGAAGCUUCAGUUUGACAUGUCCGGUGGUAAGAAGGGUGGCUUCAAUGUGUCUAGUCAUCUCUAAGGAGAAGUAG